CCUACGGGAGGCAGCAGUAGGGAAUCUUCGGCAAUGGACGAAAGUCUGACCGAGCAACGCCGCGUGAGUGAAGAAGGUUUUCGGAUCGUAAAACUCUGUUGUUAGAGAAGAACAAGGAUGAGAGUAACUGUUCAUCCCUUGACGGUAUCUAACCAGAAAGCCACGGCUAACUACGUGCCAGCAGCCGCGGUAAUACGUAGGUGGCAAGCGUUGUCCGGAUUUAUUGGGCGUAAAGCGAGCGCAGGCGGUUUCUUAAGUCUGAUGUGAAAGCCCCCGGCUCAACCGGGGAGGGUCAUUGGAAACUGGGAGACUUGAGUGCAGAAGAGGAGAGUGGAAUUCCAUGUGUAGCGGUGAAAUGCGUAGAUAUAUGGAGGAACACCAGUGGCGAAGGCGACUCUCUGGUCUGUAACUGACGCUGAGGCUCGAAAGCGUGGGGAGCAAACAGGAUUAGAUACCCUGGUAGUCCACGCCGUAAACGAUGAGUGCUAAGUGUUGGAGGGUUUUCCGCCCUUCAGUGCUGCAGCUAACGCAUUAAGCACUCCGCCUGGGGAGUACGACCGCAAGGUUGAAACUCAAAGGAAUUGACGG
rnacentral:rRNA from 1 species